rnacentral:rRNA from 1 species
AGGAUGAACGCUGGCGGCGUGCCUAACACAUGCAAGUCGAACGUCCUGUCUCGCAAGAGGCAGGGAGUGGCGGACGGGUGAGUACCACGUGGGUCAUCUACCGUGAGGUGAGGAAUACCGGCGAGAAAUCGCCGACAAGACCGCAUAGCCUCGGUGCAAGUCGAGGAAAGCUCUCUCGAGAGAGGGAGCGCCACACGAGGAGCCUGCGCCCGAUUAGCUAGCUGGUGGAGUAAUGGUUCACCAGGGCGACGAUCGGUAGCUGGUCUGAGAGGACGAUCAGCCACACUGGGAUUGAGAACGGCCCAGACUCCUACGAGGGGCAGCAGUGAGGAAUUUUCCGCAAUGGGCGCAAGCCUGACGGAGCAACGCCGCGUGCAGGAAGACGGUUUUCGGAUCGUAAACUGCUUUUCUCGGGGACGAGAACGGACGGUACCCGAGGAAUCAGCCCCGGCUAACUUCGUGCCAGCAGCCGC